GUUUCUGGCUCUGAGGCAGGUCAUGUCCUUGCAGGAACAGGGGCGUGCUUAUGCGGAAGCUGACUUUAUAAAUGGCUCACGGUCAUGGCCCUGGAAGAGCCUGGCGCCUGCCCGAUGUCUGGUCUGGAGAAUCCAUCAGGUCUGUGCCAUGAUGCCUGCAGCUGAGAAUGAGCCGUCUCACCCUGAGUUCCCUCCACGCUGUCUGCUGGGGUGGAAGGCAGGAACAGCACAGCCUGUGAUGGAAGCCUGCCCGUCCAGGGGUGGAGAGUUCUGUUGUUCCAUCAGUGUGCCUUUAGUUCAUAAAUCCUUG
rnacentral:lncRNA from 1 species